rnacentral:rRNA from 1 species
UACGGGGGGGGGCAAGCGUUGUUCGGAAUUACUGGGCGUAAAGGGCUCGUAGGCGGCCAACUAAGUCAGACGUGAAAUCCCUCGGCUUAACCGGGGAACUGCGUCUGAUACUGGAUGGCUUGAGAUUGGGAGAGGGAUGCGGAAUUCCCGGUGUAGCGGUGGAAAUGCGUAGAGAUCGGGAAGAACAUCGGUGGCGAAAGCGCUCUGCUGGACUGCAACUGACACUCAGGGACGAAAGCUAGGGGAGCGAA